UUCCAUUAUACUUUAUUUUGACCAUAUGAUCAACACUUGUACAUAGUGCCAUUUACUUUGUGUUCUUCACUCUCGCGUUGUGUUUUGAUCGUUCGAAACUCAUUGCCAGAACGAAUGCAAAUUUCAUUUGGGAAGGAUCGGUGCCGGAAGAUGCAGUGAAAAUUAUAAAAUGUUUAUAGAAAAGUGGUUAAGUAAAUCGUGAAAGAUGUCAACGCAGGCGUAAAUGCAGUAUGUUUUGUUACUUGAUCUACGGCUAUUUCAUUGCCCAAGCACCUGAUAACCGAUCAAAGAAGGUGAAUUAGACUUACAGAGUCGCCAUUUAACUUAAAUAUAUUCGUGAUCGGCAAACGCAUCAAACACCAAGUGUUUCUCUUCCAACAGCACGCGCCAUCGGUGGAGCAAGCAGCCAACGAUUUGAUCGCCAGUACGCGCCAUCAAGAAUUGAUAUUUUGCCAAACAGUACUGUGAAUAAAAACUGCACACUUACUGUCGGAAUUUCAUGGAAUUUUUUGAUCGGUCUACGCUCACAGGAAUGAUGGGUCCGUUGAGGAGAAGGAAAGAAAGGGUGGGAGCGAGGAUUAACCAAAAACGCGGCAUUGAGAAUGAGGGGAGGUGCGCUCAGCGCUCACGCUGGGACACUCACGAUGCUUGAAAUAAAAUGUUAACAAGCAUCGAUUUCAAGCAUGCAUGUCGCGCGACAUUUUG